CACCUUUAAAAAGGACAUGGAUUGUGCCCAGCAAAAGGCAACAAAGCUUAUGAAAGGACUAGAGAACAUGUCUUAUGAUGAAGGACUGAGGGAGCUGGGUUUGUUUAGUCUUGA